ACAAACAUUCAAACCAUAGCGUAUCUUCUACCUUCUCAAUUUGAGAAGGCAAGUCUCACAUGGUGGAAUUUCUCAAAUAUAAGGAGUUUGUUUUAGAGAUGCUGGAGAGCUAGACAAGUGCCAAAUGCUCAUUGCAUUCCAGCUAACUGGUGGUUUUCACUAAAUUGAGUAGAGAAAAUAAGUUGAGAUGUUGAAUGCCUGGUAUUCUUUUUUUUAAAAAUUGUGGUAAAACAUAUAUAAUAUAGAAUUUACCAUCUUAAGUGUA
rnacentral:lncRNA from 1 species